rnacentral:rRNA from 1 species
UACGAAGGGGGCUAGCGUUGUUCGGAAUUACUGGGCGUAAAGCGCACGUAGGCGGACUACUAAGUCAGGGGUGAAAUCCCGGGGCUCAACCCCGGAACUGCCUUUGAUACUGAUAGUCUCGAGUCCGGAAGAGGUGAGUGGAAUUCCGAGUGUAGAGGUGAAAUUCAUAGAUAUUCGGAGGAACACCAGUGGCGAAGGCGGCUCACUGGUCCGGUACUGACGCUGAGGUGCGAAAGCGUGGGGAGCAAACAGG